GCUUCUCCCAGGAAAACCCACUGUUUACUGUUCAAUCAGAACAAACAUUGAUCUACAAAAAACCAAACUGAUGUUUGUCCUGAUUCAGCAGUAAAUAGUGGGUUUUCCUAGGAGAAGC